UUGCAUCCACUGAUAGACCUGAAGCAUGCUUCUUUGGCUUCAAGGUUUGCAUAGAGAUGCUAAAUUGAACUAUCCUUGUGCUUUUUGACUGCUAAAUAAAAUAGCAGCACAGAAUAAACUGAGGAAUACAUUU